CUGACCUUUGAAGAUGGCUGAGAAUAAUUCAAGUUUUGCUGUUUGCUCAGUCUUACAUCAAAAGUCUAUGACAGAAUUAAGAGUUAUUUCUCUACAGUAACACAGUCCAUGAUGAAAGAACUGAACCGAUUUUCUGAAGACCUGGGAUAAAUUCCUAACUCUUUCACAACUCCUGCAUCUUCUGAGGGAGGUCCAAGAGAUCAUGCUCUGUUUAUUCAGUUUCAGCCUCCUUGUGCAAGACUACUAGGAGCCAACUGUGGAAACAAAUCUCUCAGCUGCUGGAGCUAUCAAGUAAUCAAGAUAUUACUCAAGAGGCUAAAGCUCUUUUGACUUUCAACCUGGGGUCUGUGAGGUUGAUGUGAAGGGAUGCUUGCUCCACCUGUGGCUAAUUAACAAAGCCAAAGUGAAACAGAGCCCAAGAACUGUAAUAAUUAAUUUCCAUUUUGAAAUGAUGGGCUAUAACAUCUCUUCACCUCACGGACCCCCAUGCUCCCACACCCUGUAUAGAGGAAGAGAAAAAAUAAAAGAAGAGGAACAGCAGGCAAUAACUUUGUUGGGGAGCACAUCCCCUUUGUUUUAUACGGUACAAAUUACUAACAUGUUGCUGGAGGUCUAAAUCACUAGAGCAUAUGUGAAAAGUGGUAAGAGGAGACAUUUGAAAUGAAAAAAAUGUAUGCAUUCUGCCUCAAACCUUGAGAGUUGUUUGUUUCUAUGACUUCCUUACAAGCUACUCUUGGGUGGUUCCUGAGACAACCAUGUACUGAAGAUUCUCUUUGAAAUCUAGAUGUGGUUUAGACAUACCCUGCAGGCAGAAAAAUAUGUACCAUGUUGCUAUAACACACUAUGUAUAUUGCUGUAACAUGCUAUACAUGUUGCUAUAACAUUUAAGGAGUAAUGUAAUGAGAAAUAAAGGAAAAUAUUUUUAUAUUACUGUUUAUUACAUUUCAUCUAUUGUUUGUUAGCUGGCUUUAUAGAAGCUAAUACUUAUUCAGUUUUUACAAACAAUUCAAAUAUUGGGAAACAGUUGACAACAAAGUUCAAGAUCAAUGUACGAUAUGUGCUUACACAGUAGAUAGAAUAAUAUGGAUUGUAAAACUACGUAUAGAUUGCCUUUGUCCACAUGUAUACAUAGAUACCACUGUAUAUGAAAACAUGUCAGCG
ensembl:lncRNA